UACAGAGGUCCCAAGCGUUGUUCGGAUUCACUGGGCGUAAAGGGUGCGUAGGCGGUCGGGUAAGUCUGAUGUGAAAUCUCGGAGCUCAACUCCGAAACUGCAUUGGAUACUAUUCGGCUUGAGCCACAGAGGGGGGCGUGGAAUUCCGGGUGGAGCGGUGAAAUGCGUAGAGAUCCGGAGGAACACCGACGGCGUAGGCAGCGCCCUGGCUGUGAAUAAAGCUGACACUGAGGCACGAAAGCUGGGGGAGCAAACAGG
rnacentral:rRNA from 1 species